rnacentral:rRNA from 1 species
CCCGCAUGGGGAUAUUUGCUAAAGAUUCAUCGCUGAUAGAUAGGCAUGCGUUCCAUUAGGCAGUUGGCGGGGUAACGGCCCACCAAACCGACGAUGGAUAGGGGUUCUGAGAGGAAGGUCCCCCACAUUGGUACUGAGACACGGACCAAACUCCUACGGGAGGCAGCAGUGAGGAAUAUUGGUCAAUGGGCGUAAGCCUGAACCAGCCAAGUCGCGUGAGGGAUGAAGGUUCUAUGGAUCGUAAACCUCUUUUAUAAGGGAAUAAAGUGCGGGACGUGUCCCGUUUUGUAUGUACCUUAUGAAUAAGGAUCGGCUAACUCCGUGCCAGCAGCCGCGGUAAUACGGAGGAUUCGAGCGUUAUCCGGAUUUAUUGGGUUUAAAGGGUGCGUAGGCGGCCUUUUAAGUCAGCGGUGAAAGUCUGUGGCUCAACCAUAGAAUUGCCGUUGAAACUGGGGGGCUUGAGUAUGUUUGAGGCAGGCGGAAUGCGUGGUGUAGCGGUGAAAUGCUUAGAUAUCACGCAGAACCCCGAUUGCGAAGGCAGCCUGCCAAGCCAUGACUGACGCUGAUGCACGAAAGCGUGGGGAUCAAACAGGAUUAGAUACCCUGGUAGUCCACGCAGUAAACGAUGAUCACUAGCUGUUUGCGAUACAGUGUAAGCGGCACAGCGAAAGCGUUAAGUGAUCCACCUGGGGAGUACGCCGGCAACGGUGAAACUCAAAGGAAUUGACGGGGGCCCGCACAAGCGGAGGAACAUGUGGUUUAAUUCGAUGAUACGCGAGGAACCUUACCCGGGUUUGAACGCAUUCGGACCGAGGUGGAAACACCUUUUCUAGCAAUAGCCGUUUGCGAGGUGCUGCAUGGUUGUCGUCAGCUCGUGCCGUGAGGUGUCGGCUUAAGUGCCAUAACGAGCGCAACCCUUGCCACUAGUUACUAACAGGUGAUGCUGAGGACUCUGGUGGGACUGCCAGCGUAAGCUGCGAGGAAGGCGGGGAUGACGUCAAAUCAGCACGGCCCUUACAUCCGGGGCGACACACGUGUUACAAUGGCGUGGACAAAGGGAAGCCACCUGGCGACAGGGAGCGAAUCCCCAAACCACGUCUCAGUUCGGAUCGGAGUCUGCAACCCGACUCCGUGAAGCUGGAUUCGCUAGUAAUCGCGCAUCAGCCAUGGCGCGGUGAAUACGUUCCCGGGCCUUGUACACACCGCCCGUCAAGCCAUGGGAGCCGGGGGUACCUGAAGUCCGUAACCGCGAGGAUCGGCCUAGGGUAAAACUGGUGACUGGGGCUAAGUCGUAACAAGGUAGCCGUACCGGAAGGUGCGGCUGGAACACCUCCUUUCU